GUCUUGCUGAAGAGUCUCAAUCUAAGACGAAACACCUGUCCAGGAC
rnacentral:hammerhead_ribozyme from 1 species